CGAGUUUGAUCCUAGCUCAGAAUGAACGCUAGAAAUAUACAUUACACAUGCAAAUUUAUGAUAAUAUCAUAGUGAAUAGGUGAGGAUAUAUAAAUUUUUAAUUUUAAAUAGAUUAUAAUAUAUAAUAAUCUAUAAGCGCAUUUAUUUAUAUAAUUGUACUAUAUUAAAAAUUAUUAUUGUUUAAAAUAAAAUUUAUAUUUGAUUAACUAGUUGGUAAAAUAAAAGCUUACCAAGGUUAUGAUCAAAAAUUGGUUUUAAAGAAUGUACAAUCACAUUAGGAUUGAAAUAAAGCCUAAAUUUUUUUUUAAAUCAGCAGUGAGGAAUAUUUUACAAUGAGCGUAAGCUUGAUAAAGUAAUAUUUCUUAAAGGAUGACAGUAUAUUUUUAUAUUGUAAACUUUAUGUUUUAUUUUUAAAUAUUGAUAAAAAUAAAAUAUUAGUAUUUGCUAAUUUCUGUGCCAGCAGCAGCGGUAAUACAGAAAAUACAAGCGUUAUUCACUUUAUUUGGCGUAAAGCGUUUUAAGGUUUUAUAUUAAUUUUAUUUUAAAAUAUUUAAUUUAAAUUUAAAUAAAAAAUAAAUAAUAAUAUAAUAAGAGUAUUAUAAAAGUAUUAAGAAUUUUUUGAGAAGUAGUGAAAUGCAAUGAUACAAAAAAGAAUACCAAAGGCGAAGGCAUAAUACUAUAUAAUAACUGACACUUAUAAACGAAAGCUAAGGUAGCAAAUAGGAUUAGAUACCCUAGUAGUCUUAGCUGUAAACUAUGAAUAUUUUAUAUUUAUAUAUUAAUAUAAAUAUAAUAACUAACGUAAUAAAUAUUCCGCCUGAGUAGUAUAUUCGCAAGAACGAAAUUCAAAGGAAUUGACGGGAGCUUAUACAAGUGGUGGAACAUGUGGCUUAAUUCGAUGCAACACGAUAAACCUUACCAAAAUUUAACAAUAUUUAUAUUAUUAAGGAAUUAAUAAUUUAAUAAAAUAUAUAGGUAGUGCAUGGCUGUCGUCAGUUCGUGCUGUGAAGUAUUAAUUUAAGUAUUAUAACGAACGUAACCUUUUAUAAAAAAAUUUUUUAUAAUAUAUUUAUCAAAUAUAUAAAAAAGACUACGUCAAGUCAUUAUGCUCCUUAUAUUUUGGGCUGCUCACGUGUUACAUAAAAUAUAACAAUAUUUUAUUAUAUGAAAAUAUAAUAUAUUUAAAUAUAUUUAUAGUUCUGAUUAUAAAUUGAAACUCAUUUAUAUGAGGAUGGAAUCACUAGUAAUCGCUAAUAAGAAAUAUAGCGGUGAAUAAGUUCUUAAGCUUUGUACACACCGCCCGUCACAUCUGGAAAAUAUUAUAUUAUAUAAAAAUUAUUGUAAAAUAAUAAUAUAUAAUUAUAUAAUUUAGAUGAAGUCGUAACAAGGUAGCCGUACUGGAAGGUGCGGCUG
rnacentral:rRNA from 1 species